rnacentral:rRNA from 1 species
AAUAGAUACCCUGGUAGUCCAUGCCGUAAACGUUGGGCGCUAGAUGUGGGGACCAUUCCACGGUUUCCGUGUCGCAGCUAACGCAUUAAGCGCCCCGCCUGGGGAGUACGGCCGCAAGGCUAAAACUCAAAGGAAUUGACGGGGGCCCGCACAAGCGGCGGAGCAUGCGGAUUAAUUCGAUGCAACGCGAAGAACCUUGCCAAGGCUUGACAUAUACGAGAACGCUCUAGAAAUAGAGAACUCUUUGGACACUCGUAUACAGGUGGUGCAUGGUUGUCGUCAGCUCGUGUCGUGAGAUGUUGGGUUAAGUCCCGCAACGAGCGCAACCCUCGUUCUAUGUUGCCAGCGGUUCGGCCGGGAACUCAUAGGAGACUGCCGGGGUCAACUCGGAGGAAGGUGGGGAUGACGUCAAAUCAUCAUGCCCCUUAUGUCUUGGGCUUCACGCAUGCUACAAUGGCCGGUACGAAGGGCUGCAAUACCGUAAGGUGGAGCGAAUCCCGAAAAAGCCGGUCUCAGUUCGGAUUGAGGUCUGCUAAC